rnacentral:misc_RNA from 1 species
UACGGAGGGUGCAAGCGUUGUUCGGAAUUAUUGGGCGUAAAGGGCAGGUAGGUGGUCUACCAAGUUUACUGUGAAAGCCCCGGGCUUAACUCGGGAAGUGCAGUGGAUACUGGUAGACUAGAGUGCCGGAGGGGCUCGUGGAAUUCCUGGUGUAGCGGUGAAAUGCGUAGAUAUCAGGAGGAACAUCAGAGGCGAAAGCGACGAGCUGGACGGUAACUGACACUAAACUGCGAAAGCGUGGGGAGCAAACAGG